UUCAUCGUAUUGUUGUCUUGGAAUUAUCAGGUAGCACGAAGUCGCCCAGGCUGUUAGACAACUCUUCUGAAUACCAGCUGACAUAUGAAGACAGAGAUGGGGACUGGAUGCUUGUUGGAGAUGUCCCUUGGGAAAUGUUUGUUGGUUCCGUGAAAAGGCUUAGGAUCAUGAGGACAUCUGAUGCCAGUGGUCUUGGACCACGAGUUCAAGCUAUUCACAGAAUUGUAACUCCAACAAGAGGGAGAACAUGAGAGCACCCGGUGAGCUGAUGAAAGAGUUAGAGCCGAGCUUUGAACGCGUUCGACACCACGUUUGUGCAGCCAAUGUCUGUGGCAUAGUCGUGUGAUUAUUUCUACGUAGUUAAGAUAGCAGAAGCUAAUGUCUGCUUCUGGCGACUUCUUCUGGGCUUAAUUCUAUUUUUGCCUCCUGUCCUGGUUACUUCUUCUGAGAUAUGUAAUUUUUUUUCCUGCCACCUACACGUCCGUCAGUGCGAGCAUGCUAUUUCUUUGUGUGGCAGAAGAUUGUACCUGUGCUUACUCUGAUAUGUUUAGCUGUGAGAUGAGAAGGCAGCUCCAGCAGACAGAGCCCUGGGAGGGAGUGCUGAUAGCUUUGCUUA